CCAUGUCCAGGAUGAAGUUGCCGUAAAAGGCAAUGGAGGUCCGAACACACAUCCGUUGAAAAGGGUGGUGAUGAGGUGUGGGUAGGGGAGAAAUUCCAAUCGAACCCGGAGAUAGCUGGUUCUCCUCGAAAUAGCUUUAGGGCUAGCCUCGGUUUAGUCUGCUGGAGGUAGAGCACUGAAUUUCCUAGGGGGCGUCAAAGCUUACCGAAGAAUAUCAAACUCCGAAUGCCAGCCAGAUGAUGACCGGGAGUCAGACUGCACGAGAUAAGUUGGGUAGUCAAAAGGGAAAGAGCCCAGACCACCGGCUAAGGUCCCAAAGUACGUGUUAAGUGGAAAAGGAUGUGGGAUUUCAAAGACAACCAGGAUGUUGGCUCAGAAGCAGCCAUACAUUCAAAGAGUGCGUAAUAGCUCACUGGUCGAGAGGUCCUGCGCCGAAAAUGUCCGGGGCUGAAACACGACACCGAAGCUGUGGAAUUGACGAAUGUUAAUUGGUAGAGGAGCAUUCUUAGCGGGAUGAAGCAGUACCGAAAGGAGCUGUGGACUUCUAAGAAGAGAGAAUGCCGGAAUGAGUAGCGAGAGAGAGGUGAGAAUCCUCUCGGCCGAAUAUCUAAGGUUUCCAGAGUAAAGCUGAUCUGCUCUGGGUAAGUCGGGACCUAAGGCGAGGUCGAAAGACGUAGUCGAUGGACAACAGGUUGAGAUUCCUGUACUGCUGUAUAACAGAACUGUGGGGACACAGAGGGAGAGUGCAACCCGGGAGUGGAAAGACCGGGGCAAGCGAGGUAGGAGUCACGUAGGCAAAUCCGCGUGGCGAUCCGA
rnacentral:rRNA from 1 species